rnacentral:rRNA from 1 species
AGAGUUUGAUCCUGGCUCAGGAUGAACGCUGGCGGCGUGCUAACACAUGCAAGUCGAACGGUGAAGCAGAGCUUGCUCUGUGGAUCAGUGGCGAACGGGUGAGUAACACGUGAGCAACCUGCCCCUGACUCUGGGAUAAGCGCUGGAAACGGCGUCUAAUACCGGAUACGAGACGUGAUCGCAUGGUCAACGUCUGGAAAGAAUUUCGGUUGGGGAUGGGCUCGCGGCCUAUCAGCUUGUUGGUGAGGUAAUGGCUCACCAAGGCGUCGACGGGUAGCCGGCCUGAGAGGGUGACCGGCCACACUGGGACUGAGACACGGCCCAGACUCCUACGGGAGGCAGCAGUGGGGAAUAUUGCACAAUGGGCGAAAGCCUGAUGCAGCAACGCCGCGUGAGGGAUGACGGCCUUCGGGUUGUAAACCUCUUUUAGCAGGGAAGAAGCGAAAGUGACGGUACCUGCAGAAAAAGCACCGGCUAACUACGUGCCAGCAGCCGCGGUAAUACGUAGGGUGCAAGCGUUAUCCGGAAUUAUUGGGCGUAAAGAGCUCGUAGGCGGUUUGUCGCGUCUGCUGUGAAAACCCGAGGCUCAACCUCGGGCCUGCAGUGGGUACGGGCAGACUAGAGUGCGGUAGGGGAGAUUGGAAUUCCUGGUGUAGCGGUGGAAUGCGCAGAUAUCAGGAGGAACACCGAUGGCGAAGGCAGAUCUCUGGGCCGUAACUGACGCUGAGGAGCGAAAGGGUGGGGAGCAAACAGGCUUAGAUACCCUGGUAGUCCACCCCGUAAACGUUGGGAACUAGUUGUGGGGUCCAUUCCACGGAUUCCGUGACGCAGCUAACGCAUUAAGUUCCCCGCCUGGGGAGUGCGGCCGCAAGGCUAAAACUCAAAGGAAUUGACGGGGACCCGCACAAGCGGCGGAGCAUGCGGAUUAAUUCGAUGCAACGCGAAGAACCUUACCAAGGCUUGACAUAUACGAGAACGGGCCAGAAAUGGUCAACUCUUUGGACACUCGUAAACAGGUGGUGCAUGGUUGUCGUCAGCUCGUGUCGUGAGAUGUUGGGUUAAGUCCCGCAACGAGCGCAACCCUCGUUCUAUGUUGCCAGCACGUAAUGGUGGGAACUCAUGGGAUACUGCCGGGGUCAACUCGGAGGAAGGUGGGGAUGACGUCAAAUCAUCAUGCCCCUUAUGUCCUGGGCUACGAACGUGCUACAAUGGUGGUUACAAAGAGGGGCGAGCCCGCAAGGGUAAGCGGAUCUCAAAAAAGCCAUCACAGUUCGGAUUGUGGGCUGCAACCCGCCCACAUGAAGCUGGAGUUGCUAGUAAUCGCGGAUCAGCAUGCCGCGGUGAAUACGUUCCCGGGCCUUGCACUCACCGCCCGUCAAG